rnacentral:rRNA from 1 species
UGCGUAGGUCCCGAGCGUUGUCCGGAUUUAUUGGGCGUAAAGCGAGCGCAGGUGGUUUAUUAAGUCUGGUGUAAAAGGCAGUGGCUCAACCAUUGUAUGCAUUGGAAACUGGUAGACUUGAGUGCAGGAGAGGAGAGUGGAAUUCCAUGUGUAGCGGUGAAAUGCGUAGAUAUAUGGAGGAACACCGGUGGCGAAAGCGGCUCUCUGGCCUGUAACUGACACUGAGGCUCGAAAGCGUGGGGAGCAAACAGG